rnacentral:rRNA from 1 species
AUGAUGACUCUCGGCAACGGAUAUCUCGGCUCUCGCAACAAUGAAGAACGUAGCGAAUUGUGAUGCCUGGUGUGAAUUGCAGAAUCCCGUGAACCAUCGAGUCUUUGAAUGCAUGUUGUGCCCGAGGCCACCAGGCCGAGGGCAUGCCUGCCUGGGCAUCAUGC